rnacentral:rRNA from 1 species
AGCGAACGCUGGCGGCAGGCCUAACACAUGCAAGUCGAACGGGCAUCUUCGGCUGUCAGUGGCAGACGGGUGCGUACCGCGUAGGAACGUCUCCUUCGGUUCGUAGUAACUCAGGGUAACUUGAGCUAAUACCGGCUACUCCCUCAUGGGUAAAGGUUGACUGCGGAAGGAUCGGUCCGAGUCUGCUUAGAUUGUUGGUGGUGUAACGGCCUACCAAGUCGACGAUAAGUAGCUGGUCUGAGAGGAUGAUCAGCCACACUGAGACUAGGACGCAGCCCAGACUCUUACACGAGGCAGGAGUGGGUGAUAUUGGACAACGGGCGCAAGCCAGAACGAGCCAUGACGCGUGAGUGAUGAAGGUCGGAGGGUAGUAAAGCACGUUUGUCCGGUACGGUAAUGACGGUACCGAAAGAAUAAGCCCCGGCUAACUUCGUG